rnacentral:rRNA from 2 species
GGACUACAAGGGUAUCUAAUCCCUUUUGCUCCCCACGCUUUCGUGCCUGAGCGUCAGCAAUUGUCCAGGUAGCCGCCUUCGCCUCUGGUAUUCCUCACGAUAUCUACGCAUUUCACUGCUACACCGUGAAUUCUGCUACCCUCUCCAAUGCUCUAGCCAUGUAGUUUGAGGUGCAAUUCCGGGGUUAAGCCCCGGGCUUUCACGCCUCACACACUUGGCCGCCUGCGCACCCUUUACGCCCAGUGAAUCCGAAUAACGCUUGCAGUCUCUGUAUUACCGCGGCGGCUGGCAC